UUCGACCCGUGGUCCGUUUUAGGGGCAAAAACACAUGCGCCCGAGCCAGGGAGCUCAGCUCUGCACCAGGCGCUCGCCCCGACCCCAUCUUCCUCCGCCGCCUCGCCGCACCGGCCGGCAUCACCGGAGAUCACCGCCACCGGGAACAGGUCACGUCGCCGCACCUGCCUUCUCCUUUCCCUCUUCAUCCUCCCUUCCUCUCACCAUCUCUCUCUCCCUCCCAUUGCAGCGCCGCCAUGGCUGUCCCGAGCUUUGCCGGCAGCCGCGCCGCGUGAAUCCGGCCGGAUCUAGCCGCCCUUGCCCAGAUCCGCAUCCUCCGCUCCGCCGCGCCCCGGAUUCGGCCACUACCAAGCCUCCCAUCCGCCGGCCUUCCCCUGCUCGACUCGGGUGGACGGGCGAAGUUUCUGACUUGCCAUUAUAGUUGACCUGAAGCUCCGUUGGUGAGGACCAUUGCCGCUGCUGUAGGUUAGGGAGAAGGCUCGAGGCAGCCACGAAUUCCGUCCUGCACUACUUCAACACCGACCUAUUCUAGCAUGAAUCUUCUGCCGUGAGGAUUUGAUGCAGCAAGGGCCAUUUGUUUGACAGAAACAGAGUGGUUACCGCAAGAGAGGUACAAAUCAAGGACCGAGGAGGGACGAGGGCGGAUUUGAUCUAAGUUGGGUCACUUUCUAUGAAUAGAUGAUGUGAUUGCUUUGUUAUUUUGUUUAAUUAAUAGAAAUAUUGAUGAGGCAAUUGGAAGAAUCAAGCAGGAAUUUUACUACAUAUCUGCGCCAUUGAUUUGGUCAUCUCUGUCACUAGCAAGUUGCAUAAGAAAGAGUGUGGUGUUGUAGAGGCGUGUAUAGUUGUGAGUCCCUCGAUUAUAAAGCGGAUCCAGGUGAAAGAUGUAGGUGGUGUGCGGAUUGAACUCUAGAUCGAGAACCUACAGUACUAGAUGGACGAUAACUAUGCUUACAAUUGUUGACCGAACACUGUGAGGUAUGUGCCUGUCCCUCUUCCACCCAUAUCAACAUGUAAUUUUGUAAGAAGCUAAUUUAGUGUAGCAAGAACAUCAUAUUUUAGAUACGGUCUGCAGAUCGAUGUACUUUGUCCGUCUUUCCUUCACCAAAGCAUGCGUUGUGAGAUCAUGAUUACUACCAGGUAGUACAACAUUGCAAUUUAUUUUCCAGAAUGUUCCUUGAACACACUCCCAAGUUCCCAACCAUCAGUAAUUAUAGUCUCCUCAAUUCAGAUGCAUAAUUACAUAAUAUUGUUAUACAUGCUGCUUAAGUUGAUCACCAUUAUGCUGUUAAUUGGACCUCAAGAAUAGAGAUGACACCUUACCAUAGGCAGCUCUUUAUUUUGUGCACGUUAACUCAAUUCUGAAAGUUGAUUCAAGUCUUUAGUGCUUGAAGUAGAUUCGUAGAAGCUACAAUUCUGUUAGUAUGUGAACAAAAAGCUUAUCUUAUAUGUGUGACCGGAGUUGCAGAAUAUGAAUAGGGGAAUGAUCAUAGAUGCCAACACCUACAGUAUGAUUUACCUUGAUAGAUGUGCAGUGGAUUCGUAAGUAGUUUUAGUGUUUUUUGUAGAUAGCUCAAGUACUUAAGCUUCUGCAAUCAUGAAAAACAAAACAAGGGACCAGUAGUCAGGUUCCAAUACACUGAUGCUUUCUCUGUUAAAAUCUUGACACACAUUAUGAAUCUCAAUAGCUUAAUCGAUUCUAAGCUCAUCAGAAGUAUUUGUUCAGAAUUUGGAUCAUCAGUCGCAUAUGCUUAUACCCGAACCCGCUAUAACUUGGUAUUCUUGUGCCAGAUUUUUGCCAUUCGGUAAUAGUUAUAAUUGCAUACUUCGAUCUGGGAGUAAUGGUUGUACCAGGAUGCGUCUCAUGUCUUACUUUGUGACAGCAGUUGGUCGCAUUUCAGUGACCGUCAAUUGAACCUUGAACAAGCAACUAAAUAGCAGGUCUUCUUUGGUUGGAAGCACCACAUCUCAUCUGUGUUGCUGCAAAAGCUUUUCAUUAUUGGACCAAGCUUAUGGGAUAUGCAUUGCAGUCAGUAAGGCUGUACAUUGUGUGGAGGGACUGAAUGUGUAUCCUGUUCAGUGCACAUCGACGAAACUGGAUUCAAAAAAGUAAAAUAUAGAGGCUGGAGAGUUCAGCGACCAGCUUGGUAGCACUUGUGUGGCAUCUAUCAUCGAGCAGCACCCUUACUGCGACGUCCUACCCGUGGUCCUUAUGGCACCGUUUACAUAGCAUAGACAUGGAUGUGGUCGGCCUCGGCAUGUUCUCCUUUUGUGGCCAAGGACAGUGAUAAUGCAGAGAAUUUUAGAAUUGGGUUGCAGGCAUGAUGCUCAAACCUGCUCUUUAGGGGCUUGCAAAAUGAUCUUUCCUGUUAUGUAACAAAACAUUCUCACGUAGUACCGUAGGUCAUGGAGGAGAAGAGCGUGUAUGAUCAUGAUGAGGCCGGGCAUAUGGCUGCCGCUGUGCGGGACCACAAGAUCGUCAGCGAGAUCCGUGACCAUAUGCGGCUCCUUUCGUGCGAGAGGAAUUCUCCGGCAGCUAUGAGGACGACCAGAACACGUCCGCCUAGAAGCAGCAGAGAGAUGUAUUUGAGGAUUUUAUACUAUCUGUGUCUUUAACAGACUACUACUGAUCACAAACUAAAAAGGAAACGGAUUACUGGAUCGGAUGUGGAAGAGGAAAAGAAAUUGGAAUAAAAUCCAUACAACAACUCGACCAGCAGUGAAGUACCCAGCUUUCAGAGAUUGGACGCCCAGAUUAGUACACAGGAAAGUUGGACUACUUGAUCGUCUUGAAGGAGGAUGUCUACAUGUACUGAACCAGUAAAUCAUUCAUGGAUAUUUCUUUAUAAUGUCUGCAAUAACUCAUUCGUCGUUAUUUAAAAUUUUGAUUAGUCUGAUGGCCCUUUAUAAUGUUUGUGCAAUCUAUACGAAUAAUUCCAUGUGCAUAUGUAUUUUACCACCAAAAUCAGUAACUAUGAUUAUCCUUGGAAAUGCAAUAAUGUUGCAAAGCAGUUAAGAUCAUAUGAAAAAUUACAUAUCUUACCCUGCUUCUUGCA